rnacentral:rRNA from 1 species
UACGUAGGGUGCGAGCGUUUGUCCGGAAUUAUUGGGCGUAAAGAGCUCGUAGGCGGUCUGUCGCGUCGGUCGUGAAAACUUGGGGCUUAACCCUGAGCUUGCGGUCGAUACGGGCAUGACUGGAGUUCGGUAGGGGAGACUGGAAUUCCUGGUGUAGCGGUGAAAUGCGCAGAUAUCAGGAGGAACACCGGUGGCGAAGGCGGGUCUCUGGGCCGAUACUGACGCUGAGGAGCGAAAGCGUGGGGAGCGAACCGG